rnacentral:lncRNA from 13 species
CUGCGGUAUCUGGACGAGCUCGUGGCUGGCCGCGGCGUAUUGACAGGGCGUCAACGGCAGGUUCGCCACCGAGUGCGUUAUGCUGCCGGUAUGCUUGCGAAGUCGCGCCCUGCGAUUGCUGAACCACACCUGAAAAACGGUGCGCGUGACACUUGCUGACGACAUCUUUCCGAAGAAAUCGAUCAGACGCCGGGGCCGGCUUGAAGAGUUUAUCGUCGAUGAUAUAACGAUGGUGUCCAGUUCUCUCCAGAAAAAUUUCUCCAUUUAUCCGUUACGAAAAUUAUACAGGACGCUGUCUAGCAUAACUAACAGCUUAAUAAAGACGAUCUCCGCUAAUGCA